CACUCAACUGGCUGUAGCUGGGCUAGACUCACUACACCGAAACACUCCCCAUAGGGUUUAACAUGGUCGUCGCCACCGCAUCUGCGGCCGCGCGCUCCUUUCUCCGAACAAACGCCGCCCGCAGCGCCGCCGCCAGACUUACCACUAAGUCCAAACCAUCUACUUCUCCCUUCCGCUCACCUUCCUCCAAGCCUCUCUCCCGUCGUAUUUUUAGGCGUCCGGUAGAAUUGAGUGCAUGCUUGGAGUCAAUGCAGCCGUACCACAGCGCAACGGCGUCGUCUUUGAUGAUUUCGAACCUCACCGUCUCUCGCUGCGGUUACGGUUGGCUUUUCGAAGAUAUGUGAGAGGAAAGUCAUGGAAGGAUAAAGAAAUGAUUUUUGCGUCUUAGUCCUCGAUUGGAACACAGAAUUUUUGGUGAGGAAAAUGGAUAGGCUUUUUCUUUUAUUGUCUUUUUUCCUUCAAUUUUUUUUUCUGUAUUUUGUGUUAAGAGAAAACUGGAAGGAAGAUGGUUAAUGCUUGAAGUUAAAGAGGAAUCAAUCAAAAUCUUCCUUCAGUUUUAGAUGUAAUGCUGCAGCAAUUUUAACAUAGUGAAAUGUGAAAGCAAUCAUUUUACUAAAAUCUCAUUUUCCUUGGCAACAUCUAUGAGGUAUAAGAAGCUUUUAUUUCUUGA